UACGAAGGGGGCUAGCGUUGUUCGGAAUUACUGGGCGUAAAGGGCGCGUAGGCGGUCCUGAUCGUCGGAUGUGAAAGGCCUGGGCUCAACCUGGGAAUGGCAUCCGAUACGGCGGGACUGGAGUGUGGGAGAGGUUGGUGGAAUUCCCAGUGUAGAGGUGAAAUUCGUAGAUAUCAGGAGGAACACCGAUUGCGAAGGCAGCUCGCUGGAACGUUACUGACGCUGAGACGCGAAAGCGUGGGGAGCAAACAGG
rnacentral:rRNA from 1 species